CAGUCGCCGCGGGAAUACGUAGGUGGCAAGCGUUGUCCGGAAUUAUUGGGCGUAAAGGGCUCGCAGGCGGUUUCUUAAGUCCGAUGUGAAAGCCCCCGGCUCAACCGGGGAGGGUCAUUGGAAACUGGGAAACUUGAGUGCAGAAGAGGAGAGUGGAAUUCCACGUGUAGCGGUGAAAUGCGUAGAGAUGUGGAGGAACACCAGUGGCGAAGGCGACUCUCUGGUCUGUAACUGACGCUGAGGAGCGAAAGCGUGGGGAGCGAACAGGAUUAGAUACCCCGGUAGUCCCUGUCUCUUAUAC
rnacentral:rRNA from 1 species